rnacentral:lncRNA from 1 species
ACAAGGGAAAUCUUGCCAAAAUAUAAACCAUGUGGACAUGUUCACACAUACCGUAAAGUGUAGGGGAGCCAAGUGUAAAACAUCCUUAUCCUUAUCCUCCCCCUUCACUUUCAAACACAAGAGUAUGUGGUGGUAGUUGCAUCCAGUUAAACAUGGUGCCCAAAUUCUACACCCAAACAUCAUGGAGGCCUGCACUUCAUCUUCAACACACCCACAAUUUCACCAGACCACAUGUCGGCUUUGAUGGAGUGCAAAGCAAUCUUGGAUCCUACCAGUCUUCAACUGUUGACACCUAAAGAAGCAGAAAAGCAAUUUUUUUUUCCAAGACUUGGGAAGGGAAACAUUCACGUUCGUUCAUCAUCAUCUCAAUUCUCACAUCAGACGACUUGGGGAUUCAUCAAGACAUCAAUCAUCAUCACAGCAGCAGAGGAGAUCAUCAUCGUAGCAGGAGAUCAUCAUCAACAUCGCAGCAGGGGAUCAUCAUCAUCAUCGCAGCAGACCGGCAGACUUGGAAGUAUAAAACUGUCAAACUGAUUUCAUAUGUGAUUCUGAUUUAAUAUGUCUUAGUGUGUGAUUCUGAUUGAUUUCAUAUGUU